AUUGAACGCUGGCGGCAGGCCUAACACAUGCAAGUCGAACGAGUGGCGGAAGGGUGAGUAAUGUCUGGGCAACUGCCCGAUGGAGGGGGAUAACUACUGGAAACGGUAGCUAAUACCGCAUACCAUCGGAUGUGCCCAGAUGGGAUUAGCUUGUAGGUGAGGUAACGGCUCACCUAGGCGACGAUCCCUAGCUGGUGUGAGAGGAUGACAAGACACACUGGAACGUAGGCACGUUCCAGACUCCUACGGGAGGCAGCAGUGGGGAAUAUUGCACAAGGGGUGAAAGCCUGAUUGAGCCAUGCCGCGUGUAUGAAGAAGGCCUUCGGUUUGUAAAGUACUUUCAGCGGGGAGGCGUUACCCGCAGAAGAAGCACCGGCUAACUCCGUGCCAGCAGCCGCUGUAAUUC
rnacentral:rRNA from 1 species